rnacentral:rRNA from 1 species
ACAUGCAAGUCGAGGGGCAGCAUGGCUUAGCUUGCUAAGACUGACGGCGACCGGCGCACGGGUGAGUAACGCGUAUCCGACCUCCCCAGGUAGGGAACAGCCCGGCGAAAGUCGGGAUUAAUGCCCUAUAGUCUGCGAAUUGCGCAUGGUUGUUUGCAGUAAAGAUUUAUCGCCUUGGGAUGGGGAUGCGUCUGAUUAGCUUGUCGGCGGGGUAACGGCCCACCGAGGCAACGAUCAGUAGGGGUUCUGAGAGGAGGGUCCCCCACACUGGUACUGAGACACGGACCAGACUCCUACGGGAGGCAGCAGUGAGGAAUAUUGGGUCAAUGGGCGCGGAGCCUGAACCAGCCAAGUAGCGUGCAGGGAACGACGGCCCUAUGGGGUUGUAAACUGCUUUUUAUGCGGGGGAUAAACGUGCGCCACGUCGCUGGUGUAUUGCAGGUACCGCAUGAAUAAGGACCGGCUAAUUCCGUGCCAGCAGCGGC